GGGGAUUUAGCUCCGUGGUAGAGCACUUGCCUAGCAAGCGCAAGGCCCUGGGUUCGAUCCCCAGCUCCG
rnacentral:tRNA from 1 species